rnacentral:tRNA from 1 species
GCCCUGGUGGUCCAGUCGUUAAGACUCUGAUCUCCCAAUUCAGGGGACCCAGGUUCGAUCCCUCGUCAGGGAA